GACGAACCACCCAAACGUUAUUCGGAAUUACUGGGCUUAAAGCGUGCGUAGGCGGCCAUGUAAGUAGGGUGUGAAAUCCCACAGCUCAACUGUGGAACUGCGCUCUAAACUACAUGGCUAGAGGGAUAUAGAGGUGAGCGGAACUGAUGGUGGAGCGGUGAAAUGCGUUGAUAUCAUCAGGAACACCGGAGGCGAAGGCGGCUCACUGGGUAUCUUCUGACGCUGAGGUACGAAAGCUAGGGGAGCGAACGGG
rnacentral:rRNA from 1 species